rnacentral:rRNA from 1 species
GAUGAACGCUGGCGGCGUGCCUAACACAUGCAAGUCGAACGGCAAGACAGUGAGCUUGUGCCUUUACCGUUAGCGGGUGGCGGACGUGUGACGCAUGCAUCACCUUCUUCUUUUUCGGGGAUCAUUACGUAAAACAGGUUACGAUAAUACCGCAUAUAUUCUACCGCAGAAAGCAGUGGAUCUUCACGCCUUUCGCGUCUGAAUUAGCUGAUGCCGGGCUGGCUAGUUGGGUUGGUAAAGGCCCACCAAGGCAAGGAUCCGUAGCCUGUCUGAGAGGAUGAUCGGCCACACUGGAACUGAGACACGGUCCAGACUCCUACGGGAGGCAGCAGUAGGGAAUCUUGGGCAAUGGGCGCAAGCCUGACGCAGCAACACCGCGUGGGUGAUGAAGGCCUUCGGGUCGUAAAGCCCUGUUAUUGGGGAAGAAAAGCUGUGGAAUUAAACCCGGCUGUUCUGACGGUACCCAAUGAAAAAGCACCGGCUAACUACGUG